AAUAGGUUGGCAGAUUUAUGUACUUGGCUUAGAACCAACUUAUAGGACUUCCUCCUACCUAUUU
rnacentral:tRNA from 1 species